GACGAACGCUGGCGGCGUGCUUAACACAUGCAAGUCGAACGGAAAGGCCCUGCUUUUGUGGGGUGCUCGAGUGGCGAACGGGUGAGUAACACGUGAGUAACCUGCCCUUGACUUUGGGAUAACUUCAGGAAACUGGGGCUAAUACCGGAUAGGAGCUCCUGCUGCAUGGUGGGGGUUGGAACGUUUCGGCGGUUGGGGAUGGACUCGCGGCUUAUCAGCUUGUUGGUGGGGUAGUGGCUUACCAAGGCUUUGACGGGUAGCCGGCCUGAGAGGGUGACCGGCCACAUUGGGACUGAGAUACGGCCCAGACUCCUACGGGAGGCAGCAGUGGGGAAUAUUGCACAAUGGGCGGAAGCCUGAUGCAGCAACGCCGCGUGCGGGAUGACGGCCUUCGGGUUGUAAACCGCUUUCGCCUGUGACGAAGCGUGAGUGACGGUAAUGGGUAAAGAAGCACGGGCUAACUACGU
rnacentral:rRNA from 1 species